AACGAACGCUGGCGGCAGGCCUAACACAUGCAAGUCGAGCGAGGACUUCGGUUCUAGCGGCGGACGGGUGAGUAACGCGUGGGAAUGUGCCCUUCUCUACGGAAUAGCCCUGGGAAACUGGGAGUAAUACCGUAUACGCCCUUUUGGGGAAAGAUUUAUCGGAGAAGGAUCAGCCCGCGUUGGAUUAGGUAGUUGGUGGGGUAAUGGCCUACCAAGCCGACGAUCCAUAGCUGGUUUGAGAGGAUGAUCAGCCACACUGGGACUGAGACACGGCCCAGACUCCUACGGGAGGCAGCAGUGGGGGAUCUUAGACAAUGGGGGCAACCCUGAUCUAGCCAUGCCGCGUGAGUGAUGAAGGCCUUAGGGUUGUAAAGCUCUUUCAGCUGGGAAGAUAAUGACGGUACCAGCAGAAGAAGCCCCGGCUAACUCCGUG
rnacentral:rRNA from 1 species